UACGUAGGGUGCGAGCGUUAAUCGGAAUUACUGGCGUAAAGCGCACGUAGGUGGCGACGUAAGUCGGGUGUGAAAGCCCCGGGCUCAACCUGGGAAUUGCAUUCGAGACUGCAUUGCUGGAGUACGGAAGAGGAAGGCGGAAUUCCCGGUGUAGCGGUGAAAUGCGUAGAUAUCGGGAGGAACAUCAGUGGCGAAGGCGGCCUUCUGGUCCAGUACUGACACUCAAGUGCGAAAGGCGUGGGGAGCAAACAGG
rnacentral:rRNA from 1 species